rnacentral:rRNA from 1 species
UACGAAGGGGGCUAGCGUUGCUCGGAAUCACUGGGCGUAAAGGGUGCGUAGGCGGGUUUUUAAGUCAGAGGUGAAAUCCUGGAGCUCAACUCCAGAACUGCCUUUGAUACUGAAAGUCUUGAAUAUGGGAGAGGUGAGUGGAACUGCGAGUGUAGAGGUGAAAUUCGUAGAUAUUCGCAAGAACACCAGUGGCGAAGGCGGCUCACUGGCCCAUAACUGACGCUGAGGCACGAAAGCGUGGGGGAGCAAACAGG